rnacentral:rRNA from 1 species
CCUACGGGCGGCAGCAGUGGGGAAUAUUGGACAAUGGGCGAAAGCCUGAUCCAGCCAUGCCGCGUGUGUGAAGAAGGCCUUCGGGUUGUAAAGCACUUUCAGUGGGGAAGAAAGCCUUGGGGCUAAUACCCUCGAGGAAGGACAUCACCCACAGAAGAAGCACCGGCUAACUCCGUGCCAGCAGCCGCGGUAAUACGGGGGGUGCGAGCGUUAAUCGGAAUUACUGGGCGUAAAGCGCGCGUAGGCGGUCUGAUAAGCCGGUUGUGAAAGCCCCGGGCUCAACCUGGGAACGGCAUCCGGAACUGUCAGGCUAGAGUGCAGGAGAGGAAGGUAGAAUUCCCGGUGUAGCGGUGAAAUGCGUAGAGAUCGGGAGGAAUACCAGUGGCGAAGGCGGCCUUCUGGACUGACACUGACGCUGAGGUGCGAAAGCGUGGGUAGCAAACAGGAUUAGAUACCCCUGUAGUC